rnacentral:rRNA from 1 species
GACAGAGGGUGCAAACGUUGCUCGGAAUUACUGGGCGUAAAGCGCGUGUAGGCUGACCGGAAAGUCGGGCGUGAAAUCCCUGAGCUCAACUCAGGAACUGCACUCGAAACUCCCGGUCUAGAGUGGUGGAGAGGGAAGUGGAAUUCCUGGUGUAGAGGUGAAAUUCGUAGAUAUCGGGAGGAACACCAGUGGCGAAGGCGGCUUCCUGGACACCAACUGACGCUGAGACGCGAAAGCGUGGGGAGCAAACAGG